rnacentral:rRNA from 1 species
UAAGGAAGGCAGCAGUGGGGAAUAUUGCACAAUGGGCGCAAGCCUGAUGCAGCUAUGUCGCGUGUAUGAAGAAGACCUUAGGGUUGUAAAGUACUUUCAAUAGCAUAAGAAGGUAAUGAAACUAAUAAUUUUGUUAUCAGACGUUAGCUAUAAAAGAAGCACCGGCUAACUCCGUGCCAGCAGCCGCGGUAAUACGGAGGGUGCUAGCGUUAAUCGGAAUUACUGGGCGUAAAGAGCACUUAGGUGGUUUAUUAAGUCAAGUGUGAAAUCCCUAGACUUAAUCUAGGAACUGCAUUUGAAACUAAUAGACUAGAGUUUCGUAGAGGGAGGUAGAAUUCUAGGUGUAGCGGUGAAAUGCAUAGAUAUCUAGAGGAAUAUCAGUGGCGAAGGCGACCUCCUGGACGAUAACUGACGCUAAAAUGCGAAAGCAUGGGUAGCAAACAGGAUUAGAUACCCUGGUAGUCCAUGCUGUAAACGAUGUCGACUAAGAAGUUGAAAGCUUUGACUUAUAAUUUCUGUAGCUAACGCGUUAAGUCGACCGCCUGGGGAGUACGGCCGCAAGGCUAAAACUCAAAUGAAUUGACGGGGGCCUGCACAAGCGGUGGAGCAUGUGGUUUAAUUCGAUGCAACGCGUAAAACCUUACCUGGUCUUGACAUCCACAGAAUUUUAUAGAAAUAUAAAAGUGCAAUUUGAACUGUGAGACAGGUGCUGCAUGGCUGUCGUCAGCUCGUGUUGUGAAAUGUUGGGUUAAGUCCCGCAACGAGCGCAACCCUUGUUUUUUGUUACCAUCAGAUAAAGCUGGGGACUCAAAAGAAACUGCCAGUUAUAAACUGGAGGAAGGUGGGGACGACGUCAAGUCAUCAUGGCCCUUACGACCAGGGCUACACACGUGCUACAAUGGCGUAUACAAAGAGAUGCAAUAUUGUAAAAUAAAGCUAAUCUAUAAAAUACGUCUUAGUUCGGACUGGAGUCUGCAACUCGACUCCACGAAGUCGGAAUCGCUAGUAAUCGUGGAUCAGCAUGCCACGGUGAAUAUGUUUCCAGGCCUUGUACACACCGCCCGUCACACCAUGGAAGUGGGUUGCAAAAGAAGUAGAUUAAUUUAACCUUCUUAACAAGAAAAUAGUUUACCACUUUGUGAUUCAUGA